rnacentral:rRNA from 1 species
GCAAGCCUGAUGCAGCAACGCCGCGUGAGGGACGACGGCCUUCGGGUUGUAAACCUCUUUUAGCAGGGAAGAAGCGAAAGUGACGGUACCUGCAGAAAAAGCGCCGGCUAACUACGUGCCAGCAGCCGCGGUAAUACGGGAGGCCCCAGCCGC